rnacentral:rRNA from 1 species
UACGGGGGGGGCAAGCGUUGUUCGGAAUUACUGGGCGUAAAGGGCUCGUAGGCGGCCAACUAAGUCAGACGUGAAAUCCCUCGGCUUAACCGGGGAACUGCGUCUGAUACUGGGUGGCUUGAGUUCGGGAGAGGGAUGCGGAAUUCCAGGUGUAGCGGUGAAAUGCGUAGAUAUCUGGAGGAACACCGGUGGCGAAGGCGGCAUCCUGGACCGACACUGACGCUGAGGAGCGAAAGCCAGGGGAGCAAACGGG